GGACCCGCACAAGUAGUGGAGCAUGUGGUUUAAUUCGAAGAUACGCGCAGAACCUUACCAACACUUGACAUGUUCGUCGCGACUUUAAGAGAUUAAAGUUUUCGGUUCGGCCGGACGAAACACAGGUGCUGCAUGGCUGUCGUCAGCUCGUGUCGUGAGAUGUUGGGUUAAGUCCCGCAACGAGCGCAACCCUCACUUUUAGUUGCCAUCAUUUAGUUGGGCACUCUGAAAGAACUGCCAGUGAUAAGCUGGAGGAAGGUGGGGAUGACGUCAAGUCCUCAUGGCCCUUACGUGUUGGGCUACACACGUGCUACAAUGGUAUCUACAACAGGAAGCAAGACUGCGAAGUUAAGCAAAUCAGAAUGUCGCGGUGAAUACGUUCCCGGGCCUUGUACACACCGCCCGUCACACCAUGGGAGUGGGUUGC
rnacentral:rRNA from 1 species